UACGUAGGGUGCGAGCGUUUAAUCGGAAUUACUGGGCGUAAAGCGUGCGCAGGCGGUUCGCUGUGUCCGAUGUGAAAGCCCCGGGCUUAACCUGGGAAUGGCAUUGGAAACUGGCGGGCUUGAGUGCGGCAGAGGGGGGGUGGAAUUCCGCGGUGUAGCAGUGAAAUGCGUAGAGAUGCGGAGGAACACCGAUGGCGAAGGCAGCCCCCCUGGGUCGACACUGACGCUCAGGCACGAAAGCGUGGGGAGCAAACAGG
rnacentral:rRNA from 1 species